UCCCCGCAGCCCGCGGGCGCCUCCAGCCCCAUCGUGCUGCUCCAGGAUGUCACCGCCACCCUCCGAGCGCUGCCCUCGCUCCGGGACAAACCCAAAACCAUCCGGGUCAUCACCAGGGACCUCAUCCGGGAGCUCAUAAUUCCCAGGGAUCGCUCCCCGGCCUCGCUCAUCAUCGGCACCCAGGAAUUCCAGCGCAUCCAGGAGGAGGCUCAGGCUCCGGGGCGGCAGCGCGCGGAUCGGCUGCGGAUCCUCAAAUCCCGCCAGGACGCGGCUUUCGAGCAGCUGCGGCGCGUGCGGAGCGCGGAGCUGGGCAGGGACGAGCAGCAGGAC